AAAAAAACCCCUAGAUCGCAGCCUACGCCCUACAGCAGUCGAUCGAGAAGACGGAAUCGGGAGCGUCUCCAUCUGGAAACCGUCCAUAACUGCAGUCACGUCGGUGUCGGGCCGUCGGCGACCGGGCGAUCACUCUACACCAAACCAAACCCUGCAGUCGCGUCGGGCCGUCGGGCGUCGGCGAUCCGGGCGUCCGCGCGAUCAGCCGAUCACGCAACACCAAACCAAACCCUGCAGGAAACGGAUCGCCUUCGCCUCAUCGGACCGAUCGGAUUCAGGGAUUAUUACUUUGUGUCUUCAUUAGAGAUCCGUUCUUACCUCCUCGGUUAAAAAUCACACUCAUAGUGUAGUAGUUCAACCGGACAGGACCCAAAAUUAGAUGAGUUAGAUGGUUCGUCUAACUGCCAAAUAUUGACGCAUGGACUUAUUGAUAUAUUUUAUUGUUCAAUUGUAUUUUAUUCUUCUUU